AGUGGCGGAAGGGUGAGUACAACAUGGGUAAUCUAUCUUCAAGUUGGGUAUAGCUUCCCGAAAGGGAGAUAAUCCCGAAUGUGGUGAUCCGGCGCAUGUCGGAGAAUCUAAAGGCGGGGACCGCAAGGCCUGCCGCUUGAAGCCGAGCCCGUGCACUAUCAGCUUGUUGGCGGGGUAAUGGCCCACCAAGGCUUUGACGGUUAGCUGGUCUGAGAGGAUGGUCAGCCACACUGGGACUGAGAUACUGCCCAGACUCCUACGGGAGGCUGCAGUCGAGAAUCAUUCGCAAUGGGCGAAAGCUGACGGUGCGACGUCGCGUGGAGGAUGAAGGUCUUCGGAUUGUAAACUCCUGUCAUGUGGGAUAAAUGGCCCGGGCCCGAAUACGGCCUGGGAAUGAUCGUACCACAGGAGGAAGAGACGGCUAACUCUGUGCCAGCAGCCGCGGUAAUACAGAGGUCUCGAGCGUUGUUCGGAUUUACUGGGCGUAAAGGGAGCGUAGGCGGUUUGGUGUGUCGAAUGUGAAAGCCCGCAACUCAACUGCGGAAUGGCAUUCGAAACUACCAGGCUAGAGUACUGGAGAGGAGAGCGGAAUUCUUGGUGUAGCGGUGAAAUGCGUAGAUAUCAAGAGGAACACCGGUGGCGAAGGCGGCUCUCUGGACAGAUACUGACGCUGAGGCUCUAAAGUUAGGGGAGCAAACAGGAUUAGAUACCCUGGUAGUCCACACAGUAAACGAUAAUCACUAGAUGUCGGGUUCUAGAUGGAUUCGGUGUCGGAGCUAACGCGAUAAGUGAUUCGCCUGGGGAGUACGAUCGCAAGGUUGAAACUCAAAGGAAUUGACGGGGGCCCGCACAAGCGGUGGAGCAUGUGGUUUAAUUCGAGGCAACGCGAAGAACCUUACCCGGUCUUGACAUCCGCGGGAGGCUUCAGAGAUGGAGCUGUGCCGGCAUAAGCUGGAGCCGUGAGACAGGUGCUGCAUGGCUGUCGUCAGCUCGUGUCGUGAGAUGUUGGGUUAAGUCCCGCAACGAGCGCAACCCCUGCCUUCAGUUACCAUCAUUAAGUUGGGGACUCUGGAGGGACCGCUGCGGUAACAACGCAGAGGAAGAUGGGGACGACGUCAAGUCAUCAUGGUCCUUAUGGCCGGGGCUACACACGUGCUACAAUGGCAGUUACAGAGGGAAGCAAGACAGUAAUGUGGAGCGAAACUCAGAAAAGUGUCGCAGUUCGGAUUGAGGUCUGCAACUCGGCCUCAUGAAGUUGGAAUCGCUAGUAAUCGCGCAACAUCAUGGCGCGGUGAAUACGUUCCCGGGCC
rnacentral:rRNA from 1 species